rnacentral:lncRNA from 1 species
CAAGCUGAAUCGCUCAUCAAAUGGAAGGACGACUGGUCUUCAUCACCUUCGCUACUCAAUUCAUGGUCCCUCACCAACCUCAACAGCCUCUGCAACUGGACUGCCAUUUCCUGCUCCAAAACCAGAACGGUCUCCAAAAUAGACCUCUCCAAUAUGUACAUUAUCGGAUCACUGUCCCUUUUCGACUUUCCCUUAUUUCCAAAUCUCACCCACUUCAAUCUAAAUGGCAACAAUUUCCUAGGGCGUAUACCGUAUGCCAUUGGAAAUCUCUCCAGGCUCACAUCUUUGGACUUGGGCAACAACUUGUUUGAUCAACAAAUUCCAUCUGAAUUUACAGGCAUGCCUUCAUUGACGUUCCUCGACUUGUCUCAAAAUAAUUUGUUUGGCCAAAUUCCAACUUCGAUUGGCCAACUUAGAAAGCUUCAGUACCUUGAUCUUUCAUACAACUCCUUAAACUCUUCUAUCCCUCUCUCUGUAGGCCAACUCAGGGAGCUCCAGUACCUUGAUCUUUCAUACAACUCCUUAAACUCUUCUAUCCCUGUCUCUAUAGGCCAACUCAGGGAGCUCCAGUACCUUGAUCUUUCAUACAACUCCUUAAACUCUUCUAUCCCUUCUGAGCUUGGUCUUUGUACAAGCCUCACGCACUUGUACCUGGCUUCCAAUAAACUCAACGGGGAACUGCCUCUGUCCUUGUUCAAUCUGAACAACCUUGUCGAAUUGGGUUUGGAUAAUAAUCUAUUUACUGGUCAAAUCCUUCCUUCUCUGGUCUUCAAUUGGACUAAAAUGGUCUCUUUGCAACUUCAGUCCAAUGAACUCAGUGGGGAGAUUCCUCAGAAUCUAGGCAAUUUAUCUCAGCUUCAGCUGCUCGAUUUGUCACACAACCAUCUUUCAGGGCAAAUCCCACCAUUUGUCAACGUGUUAUCUCUUCCUGACUUUGAUUUUUCUUAUAACAACUUGACUGGCCUAAUCCCAUACAACUUCCAAUGGGCACCAGCAAAUGCUUUUGCUGGAAACUCUGGCUUGUGUGGGUAUGUACAAGGACUAGACAGUAUAUCAACUUGCCCCAACAGAAAUUCCGCAAAGAAUAACAAAAGAGUUCUAAUUGGUGUCCUUGUACCUGUUUGUGGUUUAUUAAUGGUUACAAUUGUCAUUGGUCUUAUGUUCCGUAAAAAAUCCAGUCUCGUUUUGAACAAAGUCAACACUUCUGAAAACUUUGAGAGUUUGGAGUCAAUGAUAUUGCAAGAGGAAGUAAAGUUUACGUUUGCGGAAGUUGUGAAGGCUGUAGAUGACUUUCAUGAGAAGUACUGCAUUGGGACAGGAGGGUUUGGAAGGGUUUACAAGGCAGAGUUGCAAUCAGGCCAAGUUGUUGCAGUUAAAAGGCUUAACAUGUCAGACUCUAAUGAUAUUCCAGCAAUUAAUCUCCAUAGCUUUCAGAAUGAAAUCCGAACUUUGACAAGCAUCCGGCACCGGAACAUCAUAAGGCUCUAUGGCUUCUGUUCAAGAAGGGGGGGGUUGCAUAUUCCUGCUUUAUGAAUACUUAGAGAGAGGAAGCCUGGGAAAAACUUUGUAUGGAGUUGAAGGUGUUAAUGAACUUGGUUGGGCUACUAGAGUCAAAAUUGUGCAAGGACUUGCUCAUGCACUUUCUUACUUGCACCAUGAUUGCUCUCCACCAAUUGUGCACCGUGACAUAACCGUCAAUAAUGUAUUGCUUGAGUCUAAUUUCGAGGUUCGUCUCUCAGAUUUCGGAAUAGCCAGGUUAUUGAGUACUGAUUCAUCCAACUGGACAGAUAUUGCUGGUUCGUUUGGCUACAUAGCACCAGGUAAUGUAAACUUAAUUUGUACAUUUAUGAUUCAUCUUUUUGCUUAUUGGGAUAUGUUUUAAGGUAGCCAAUUGUGUUUUUAUUGAUGUGUAGAGCUUGCAUACACUAUGCGAGUCACGGAUAAAUGUGAUGUAUAUAGCUUUGGAGUGGUGGCGCUCGAAGUCAUGAUGGGAAGGCACCCAGGGGAUAUGCUAGAGUCCCAGCUACAAGAAUCAUCAAAAUCAAGGAGGGACAAUGUAGAAUUGCUCCUGAAAGAUUUGUUAGACCAAAGGUUGGAGCCGCCAACCAAUGAAUCUGCAAAGGCAGUGGUGCUUGUGGUGACAAUGGCCUUGGCCUGUAUACGAACGCGUCCUGCGUCCAGACCCACGAUGUUAUUUGUGGCACAAAAACUCUCGGCUCAAACCCUGCCUUGCCUUCCCGAACCAUUUGGUAUGUUGACAAUCAACAAGCUAAUGGCACUAUAAAAAAUAAAACAAAAAAAGAAGACAAGGGCGAAUAGCUCAAACUUCCCUUUUGUAUUCCUACCACACGCAAUUCCAUCUAAUUUCUCAUGUAAUAGAUAUUCAAUACCGUAAUUACUCAUCUGUAUUAUUUGUCGAAUGCGGAUUAAUGUGUGAUGAACUUUCUUAAUCGUAAUUGCAUUAAACCGAUAAUCCAUAAUGUGUCAAAAUAACUCCACAAUUAAUAAAAAGAAAAUUGAAUUAUGGAUUUGUGUCCUUCCUCUAGUUCAAAGAGCUACCCUAAAAAAUUGAACCUACAUGGAUAAUUUUCACCCUGGAUUACUUUGAAAGCAAACACAUAUGGAACUACAGGAUGCAAUCUGACCUUGCAUCUUUGAACCAUGUCGCGCAUCGAAGUACAUUUGAUCUUCCAGGCAUUCUUAAACUUUUCCGCUAUGUCGAAUAUAGGUUUGUGCCUUUCCUCUCUAAAUCUGGCAACAGCCAGAACUGCUUUCACAUUCACACUACAGCACAAUAGAAGACACUUUGACACGACAAUAUGUUAAAUUAGCAAAUGGGGAAGUGGUGGAAUAACACCGUAGUAUUGUGAGCAAGUCUCGGGUGUCAAGGCCACGGGGGAGGUCCCUGUGGCUUUGGAACCACCGACAUAAUGAUAAACAAGCGUGGCUACUGUGCCUCAAUCCAACACGGACCAGGACAGCAAAUCUAUAGCUUCUGUGCGUUAAACCAAAUCCCAUCAGGAGUUGUUCACUUCUCAUAGUCUUUGAAUUAUAAUUGUAACUCUUUUAGUUUAAUCGUUGUCCUACACGGAUUCAUCAAACCAAAAGCACAUAUGGAUUGGAGACAUGGGGAGACAGUAUGGUAUCUGCUUACUGGUUGACUUGCUUUAAACGAUUUUUGAGCUGAAAAUUUCUCGCAAAACUAAUAAACUAGAACAGAGAAUGCAGCAAAUAAGUUGACUCUGCAGAAGUUGCUGAAAGAGCAAAAAUGGCUGGAUGAGAUGUGACCCUUAUCGCGUUGGACUUCAAUUGUCAGGUGAUACUUUCAGGCCAUGCUUUGCCUUUAAACCGACUGCAUAUGAUUGUUAAAAGACUGACCAAGACUGUUAUAAGAGUCCAGAUUUUCACUUUGUGGUUCAUUCACCUACGCAAUGAGAAACGUUCUACAAUCGAACUAACAAAGAGGCGCAUGCAGUGAGAAAUCAUCUUCGUUGAAUUCUGAAUCAACUCCCUCGUGUCCAACAAACUCAGCAAGGCCCAUCAACAUCAACUGGUUCACUGACAUGAACUUUUCCAUUUUCGGGUUCUACAGCAUAAUAUUUGGCAUCUAAAGGUACAAUUUUCCCACAACCUUUGGUUGCCCUGCUCAACCUUGAAGGCAAAGAAUUAGUCCGCCAGACACCCCUUGUAUUUUUGCUUCAAUUUCAUAAUCUUCGAUGCUGCUGAUCCUGAGCUGAAACUAGUCUUACCCCCUGCCCUUAUUCUGUUGAGAAUAUCGCGCUUAAGAAUGGAAAAAACAAGAACAAACUCCGGAAAUCAAAAAACAAAUAACCAAAAUAAAUAACACCAAGAAUUUACAUGGUUCAGCAAUAUGUGCCUACGUCCACGUGACAGCAAAAACAAUCCUUCACUAUAUCAAUAAUGAGUACAACCAAUAAUCUUGCCAAAUCUCUAGAACUAGAACUUGACGAAAAACCUGAAAGAACAAGAACAAGAAAUACACUCUCUUUUCUUUUCUCUCGCACACACAAUAUUCUCUCACUCUAAUCUCUUGAGUGGUAUACAAUUUAUUGUUUUGCUCCCUUCUCAAAUCUAGUAUAAUAGCCCCUUUAUAUAGACAUAAUAAAGGUCUUCUUUAAUAAGGAUUAUUAAUCCUAAUUGGAAUCUAGUUAUGAAUCCUACUCCAAUUGAGAAACUAACUCCAAUUGGGUAAACAACUCCAAUUGGGAAAACAAUUUAAUCCUCUAAGACUAUUAAUUCCCAAUAGACUUAGGACAACUAAUCAUGGGCUGGAAAAAAACCCAACAUCUUCGACAUCCAUGUUCCUAUCAUGGUGUUUUGACGGAAUGGAAUCCGGUGGAGUUCCAGAAGCUGUUAUACAUAUACCCUUCCGGGGUGACAUGGAAAAGUAAUUCCAGGUCUCUUCUGAAUUCCAAUCAGUUUUCCACUUAAAUGGCCAGAAAAGCAGUUCAUCAGUAGUGGUUAGAUCUUCCAAAACUUCAGCCUCAGAAGCAUGUUCUGAUGAAAAAUCACACCCAGAUGAUAUUUCAGUUUGUUCUUCACUGGGUGUAGAAACACUAGAAUUAGAUCACUGAAAGUCAUGCCUCCAACAACUACUUUUGUAAGAUUGGGCUGGGAAAAUCAGACAGAAAACAAUCCGACCUUGAAUCUGUACCUGGUGUCAGUUUGUAAUCAUCUCCAUCAAGAUUCAACAACGAAAAGCGGCAACCUAUUCUCUCAAAAUCUAGAGGAGCUAAAGAGAAACCACAACUUGGGGAUCCUUCAGAGGAAUUUCCACAAGAAGACUCAGCACCCUCAGAAGAGCAUGCAAAAUACCUCUUGCAUUCUCAUCCUCUGAACAUUUGUGUAAAUUCUUGUUUACAUAGAUCAACAUCUUCUUCUGUAGAUUCGAAAAUAGCAGCCGCAGCCUCAGCCUUCUGGUUGUUAUCGCAUAAAAAACCUGUUUCCGUCACACAUAAUCUCACGUGUUUGUUUUGAGCACUAAUUGAUCUUGGUCUAAAACACUCACCUCCUCUACGGUCAAUGCUACACUUGUUCAUUGUUCAUUGGUGACAAAGAAGAAACCCUCUUCAUAAAAUCACAACAGCCGUCUGUUCCAUUGAAUUUCAUUUGAUGGGAGUCUCGAUAACACAAAAUAAAGGCCAAGACAACCGCCAACUGCAGGAAACAAUAACAAAAAAUGAAAAUUAAACAAGAGUGGAGGCAACGUGAAGAAAGCCUACCAAGACGAGCAAACACAGAAGAUUUCAACUCUGAAUUUUUUAUGUAUAAUUACACACCACAUAGAGCAGCCAGCAAAGGCGGCAGGUACAAGUCAACGCGAUGUCGAUGAAGGAACAAAAUAUAUAAUUUAAACAUAGAUUGUCAAAACCGAAAUCCAACUGCUUAUAUCGUAAGGAUAGAACAAGUCAACAAGUCCCUUGCAUUCAACUUUGGGGGGAAUGAAAUGUAAGUUAACUCAACCAAAAUGCAGCUCUUAAGCAAAACAUUCACACUCAUUGAGACCAGUAUGCCAAAUAAGUCAUGGGCAAAAGUUGAUCAAAUUUUCAAGUUAACUAAUAGAAACCGAAAUCCAAAUAAUGGGGGAGGGAGAUUCAAACUUAGGGUCUCCUCCAACACCGGGAGGAGCAGUAUUGCUAGACUAAUUGUUUUAAUUAGUUGAAAUUCAGAAAUGUUUUAAUUAUAUUUAGGUUGAUUUUAUCACAGAUUUGUACUCUUAAUGAUGUUUUCAGUAUCUGAUGUAAUUCCUUUUUUCUUAUUUUUUAUCCUUAUUUCUCUUUCUUUUGCUUGGUGUCCAUGCAAAUUGUUUUAUGUGAUUUUAUCUUUUAGGUUUUUAGGUGUUCUUUAGACAAUCGUGUCAUGAUUCAUUUACAUUUAUGUUGUGUGUUUACAAAAAUAUAUAGGAUAUAUUAUUUCUGCUACAAUCAAAUUGACUGUUUUAUCUGCAAACCAUAGGAAACUGUUAGAGUUACGUUGCUUUCCCUUGUCUAAAAAAAUACAUCUGGAGGAGUGCUAGAUUGACCUUUUUGUUCAUGUUGAGGUAAAACAAUGAAAUAAUUUUCUAAUAUAAAAAAAUACACCUGGAGGAGUGCUAGAUUUGUUGUGCUAGGAUAGCACCAAACAUUUUUGGAACCAACUCAAGCUAAUCCACAGGAAAUUUAUCAAAUGAAAAUGCAAGAACAAAAUAUUAAAGAAAACCAAGAUUUUAACGAGGUUCCUCAACAGUCAGUGUAACUGGAGUACGUCCUCGGAGCAGUAGGAGCUCACCCAAUAAUCCACUAUCAACCAAAUGAGAGUUUACAAAGUGUUGGCAAUCUCACAACCCAAAUAACCCAAUACACCCAAUAGCUCUCACACACCACAGAAACAAAUAGAGAAAGAAAUAUAAUGAAUAAUUUCUUCUCUAUACAUGUAGCUCAAAGCUAUUACAACAUAACUAUGAUGGAUGAUUGCUAACAAAAAAGAAGAGCACCUUCUUCUUUUCUGCUCUCAGUUUUCUGCUCUCUGCAGCUCUCUUUGCUCUCUCAAAGAUGGGCUACUAAAACUGAAAAAAUGGUGCACACUUCAUCUCUCUUUCUCACUUCCGUAUAUUCACCUUCAUCCAUCCUCAACACCCAAUAAACAAAACCAAAGUAAAAACAUAAUGAUUACUUUACAAACAUCAUCAUGACUUUCCUUUUUUCUUUUCAAUAAACAUAAUCAUUUGUCUUGUUUUUUUCUUUUCCUUUUUUUAAUAGCCGAAAGUUGUUUGUUUGGCCAUAAUUCAACAAUCUCCACUUUGGCCAAAUUCCGAAAACACCAUGAUAAGCCAACCAACACAAUCAACACAAAAAUCACUCCCAAACACUAGCAAGAGAACAACUCAUGCCGAGCCAAAUGCUCCAAAACUCCUACUGCUCAACGCCUUCUUUAUAUAGGCAUAAUGUGAGCCAAGUUCAAACAGUGAACAAACUUGGCUACACCAACAACCUUAGUCAACAUAUCAGCGGGGUUGUCUUUAGUUGGAAUCUUCUGGAGAAUGAUUUCCCCUUCACCAACAAUUUCACGAACAAAGUGAUAACGCACAUCUAUGUGCUUGGUCCUCGCAUGAUGAACCUGAUACUUAGCCAAAUAAAUGGCACUCUGACUAUCACAAUGUACCUCCACCUGCUUCUGAUCAACCCCCAAAUCUCUAAUCAGCCCAUGUAUCCAAAUGGCCUCCUUUAUAGCUUCAACAACUGCCAUAUAUUCAGCCUAUGUAGUAGACAAGGCAACAGACGACUGCAAAAUGGACCUCCAACAAACUGGUCCUUUAGCCAUAGUAAACACAUAGCCUGUAGUAGAUUUCCUUCCAUCCAGAUCACCUGCAUAAUCUGAAUCAACAUAACCAAUUGCAAAAUGACCAAUACCAGAGUCAUCCCUUUCAAAGCAUAAACCAACAUCUCGAGUACCAUGGAGAUAUCUCAAUAUCCACUUAGCUGCUUGCCAAUGCUCUUUACCUGGAUUAUGCAUAUAUCGACUCACCAUGCCAACUGCAUGAGCAAUAUCCGGUUUAGAGCAUACCAUUGCAUACAUCAAACUACCAACCAAAUUUGCAUAUGGUGCAUUUUUCAUUUGCAGCUUCUCUUUAUCAUUUUUAGGACAUUGUAGAGAACUCAAUUUAAAAUGAGGAGCCAAAGGGGUACUAACCGGUUUGGUUGAAUCAUGAACUCCAAACUUCCGAAUCAACUUCUCAAGGUAUUGUCUUUGAUUCAAACUGACGAAACCUUUUGCUCUAUCUCUAGUGAUCUCCAUGCCAAGGAUCUUCUUCGCUUCAUCAAGAUCCUUCAUCUCAAACUCAUUCUUCAUUUGCUUCUUCAAUUUCUCAAUCUCUUCGACAUUCUUUGAGGCAAUCAACAUAUCAUUAACAUAUAUCAAUAAAUAAAUGAAAGACCCAUCUUGCAACUUCUUGAAGUACACACAAUGAUCAUAUUGACUUCUAGAAUAAUUUUUGGCCUCUCAUAAAUUUAUCAAACCUCAAAUACCAUUGCCUUGGAGAUUGCUUCAAGCCAUAAAGUGAUUUCUUCAAUUUGCAAAACAAAUUUUCCUUCCCUUUCACUAUAUACCCAUCCGGUUGACACAUAUAGAUCUCUUCAUUCAAAUCACCAUGUAGGAAAGCCGUCUUCACAUCGAGUUGCACAAGCUCAAGAUCAUAUUGUGCAACAAGAGCUAACAUAAUACGAAUUGAGGAGUGCUUCACAACCGGAGAAAAGAUUUCAUUGUAGUCAAUGCCCUCCUUUUGUGCAUACCCUUUAGCAACUAAUCUUGCUUUAAAUCUCACAUUGCUUUUCUCAUCAGCAUCUUCCUUCUUGGCAUACACCCAUUUGCAACCGAUAGCUUUCUUGCCCUUAGGUAAUUUAGCUAACUCCCAAGUCUUGUUCUUCAAGAGAGAAUUCAUCUCAUCACCCAUGGCAUUGCACCACCUCUUCUUCUCCUCACUCUCAAUGGCUUCCUCGAAAUUAGAUGGAAUCUCAUCAGUGAUAAUAGGAAGAGCAAAAGAAACAUAGUCACUAUACCGAGCUGGCUUGGUAAUUUGUCUCUUUCCUCUAUUCUUGGCAAUAGACUCUUGAGGUGAAACUUGCUCUUCAACUUGAAUAGAAUCUUCAAGUUCAACUUCUUCAACAUCCUCAUGGUCUCCAACUUCUUCACUUGUAGUGGCUUCGACAUCAGCGAAAAUAGGAUUUGAAGUACCAGAGGCAACUUUCUCAAGCUCCACCUGUUGGACAUCUUUCACAUUCUUCUCAGAGUCUUUGAACAUACUUUCUUCAUCAAAUGUCACAUCUCUGCUGAUUACAAGUUUUUUCAUCUCUGGACACCACAACCUGUAACCUUUGACACCACUACUAAAACCAAGAAAGAUAGUCUUUUUGGCUCUAGCAUCAAGUUUAUUUUCAGUCACAUGAAAAUAAGUAGGUGAACCAAAAAUACGGAUAUAGUCAUAAUCAGAAGAAGGUUUUCCAGUCCAUACCUCCAUUGGUGUCUUACCCUGAACAACAGCUGAGGGUAAUCGGUUGAUGAUGUGACAUGCAUAAUUAACUGCUUCUGCCCAAAAUGACUUGCUUAAACCCGACUGAGACAACAUACAUCUAACCUUCUCUGCAACUCCAUUUGUUGUGGAGUUCCCCGAACACUGAAAUGUCUCACAAUUCCUUCCUCUUUGCAAACUUUAAAGAAAUGAUCGGAUGUGUAUUCACCACCAUUAUCCGAUCUCAAAAUCUUAAUCUUUCUCCCAGUCUGGUUCUCAACCAUUUUCUUCCAACCCAAGAAAAUGUUUAACACCUCACUCUUGUGCUUCAUAGUGUAGACCCAAGACCUUCUUGAAUAAUCAUCAACAAAGGUCACGAACCAAUGUCUAGCACUCAAAAAGGGAGUCUUUGUAGGACCCCAAACAUCCGAAUGCACAUAAUCAAGAAUGCCCUUCGUCUGAUGUACAGCAGUACCAAACUUCACUCUAGUUUGCUUCCCUAAGACACAAUGCUCGCAUAAAUCAAGCUUACAAGUCGUGGCACCUUUUAGAAGACCUUGUUUCACAAGCCCUUGUAGAGCUUUCUCACCGGCAUGGCCUAAUCUCAUAUGCCACAAUCUAGUAGUAUCUGAAUCAGAUGUGCCCAUAUUUUCAGAGACUACAGAUGCUUCACCUGUCACAGUGCUUCCCUGCAAUAAAUACAAAUGGCCACAUCUAGGAGCUUUCAUCACAACAAGUGCACCAUAAGUAACUUUCAAUGUCUGUCCAUCUGAAUGAAACCUGAAACCCUUGGAUUCCAAAGUACCCAAAGAAAUAAGAUUUUUCUUCAAAUUCGGUACAUACCGAACACCUGUCAACCCUUUAACCAUGCCAUCAUGCAACUUCAAACGAACUGUACCAAUCCCUUUUGUUGUGCAAGGAUUGUCAUCUCCCAUGAACACAACGCCACCAUCAAACUCUUUCAAGCUUGAAAACCAAUCCUUGUGAGGAGUCAUAUGAUGAGUACAACCCGUAUCCAGCACCCACUUAGUAGUACAAUCAAAUGAUGAGGAAGUGGUUAAAGCAAAAUCAGAAAAAUCUGUUUCAACCUCAGCAACAUUAGCUUUAGAACUUUCUUUGCCUUUGGUCUUCAACCUAGGACAAUCUUUCUUCCAAUGGCCCUUAUUAUGACAAAAGGCACAUUCAUCCAUUUCCAAAGUUUUUCUACCUUUAGAGUUUCCUCUAGGUCGAGACUGUGAUUUUUUCCUGCUAGAAGAUGAUCUCCUCUCCGAUGAUCUACCUCUAACAAAUAAAGCUUCAGAGGUACUAUCAUGAUUUUUAUCUCUAUGCCUCAUUUCAUAAUUCAUCAAGGCAUUUGACACAUCUUCAAAUUUCACAGUUUCUUUACCAUGCAUAAUAGUGGUAACAAAAUGCUCAUAAGAGUCCGACAAGGAAUUCAACAAUAUUAAGGCCUUAUCUUCAUCCUUAAUAUCCUCAUCUAAAUUUAACAAGUCGGCAAUCAACUUAUUAAAAGCAUCAAGGUGUCUAAUCAUUUUUGUACCUUCUUUGUAUUGGAAGCGGUAGAGCUUUUUCUUCAAGUGUAGCCAGUUCUCUGCACUCUUCGUCAUAUACUUGUCUUCCAAUUUUUGCCACAACACACUUGCUACUGUCUCCCACAUCACAAAAUACUUCUGAGUUUUUGCAAGGCACAACUGAAUUGAAGAGCAAGCCCACAAAUUUAAUUUUUCCCAUUCCGGCUUCGACAUAGUUUCCGACUUCUCUCCCAAAGCGGUAAGUAGAUCUUGUUGAGCUAACACAUCUUUGACCUCACAUUGCCACAUCCCGAAGUUGUUUGUGCCAUCAAACUUUUCCACUUUGAACUUUGCAUUUUGCACCGUAGUUCUUGCAAACCCGGAGCUGCUUCCAAAAGGAUUUUCAUCUUGCCCGUCUGACAUCUUUGGCAACUAGACAGUACCCAAGAGCAACCAGUGCUCUGGUACCAAUUGUUGUGCUAGGAUAGCACCAAACCUUUUUGGAACCAACUCAAGCUAACCCACAGGAAAUUUAUCAAAUGAAAAUGCAAGAACAAAAUAUUAAAGAAAACCAAGAUUUUAACGAGGUUCCUCAACAGUCAGUGUAACUGGAGUACGUCCUCGGAGCAGUAGAAGCUCACCCAAUAAUCCACUAUCAACCAAAUGGGAGUUUACAAAGUGUUGGCAAUCUCACAACCCAAAUUACCCAAUACACCCAAUAGCUCUCACACACCAUAGAAACAAAUAGAGAAAGAAAUAUAAUGAAUAAUUUCUUCUCUAUACAUGUAGCUCAAAGCUAUUACAACAAUAACUAUGAUGGAUGAUUGCUAACCAAAAAGAAGAGCACCUUCUUCUUCUUUUCUGCUCUCAGUUUUCUGCUCUCUGCAACUCUCUUUGCUCUCUCAAAGAUGGGCUACUAAAACUGAAUAAAUGGUGCACACUUCAUCUCUCUUUCUCACUUCCGUAUAUUCACCUUCAUCCAUCCUCAACACCCAAUAAACAAAACCAAAGUAAAAACAUAAUGAUUACUUUACAAACAUCAUCAUGACUUUCCUUUUUUCUUUUCAAUAAACAUAAUCAUUUGUCUUGUUUUACUUUUCCUUUUUUUAAUAGCCGAAAGUUGUUUGUUUGGCCAUAAUUCAACAAGAUUGACUUUUUUUGUUCAUCUGUUGUUCUUAGCCCCGUCUCGAUCUCAUCUGCAACAGAAGCCGCAGCAGCAGCAGCAGGAUCAGGCAGGAGAUCAAACUCUCCAAUCAAGGCCUCCAAUUCGAAUCUGAAAAGAUUGUCAUCAUCAUCUUUUCUCUCACUGCCUCACUAUCUGACCCUGCAGUGCAGCAGGGCAGACGCCUAACAAACUGCAAAACCACAAUCAACACUUUGAAGAACUCUUCAAAAUGAGAUCAUUUUAAUACACUCUACCACUUCAUAUCGAAAAGUGCACAUAUAAACAACAUGAAACAACAAAUAUGUCACAAUUUGAAGCAUGUAAAGGCAAGCAUACCUUGCCUGCAGAUGAUAUACUAUCGGAGGGAGGAACAGCCCUCCUUGCAAUAUAUACUUCUUGACUUUACAAAAAUUUGAAGGUCAACAUUGUAGAAUAACAAACAAGAGUAUAAAGCAUAGAAGGAAGCCUUGUUCAAUUCGACAAAGUAAGACUUUUCUGAAAUCUAAAUCACGACCUGUGAAUGUUAUGUUCAACAUCAUUGUAUACUCUCUCAAUAUAAAUUAUUGAGAUAAUUUAAAUUAUUUAUUCAUCUUAGUGUGUCUCUAUGCAUGCCAAACGAUAACAAACAUAAAAAUAAUAGCAGACACAUCAGAAAUACAAUUGAAGGCAUUUCUUUCAAAUGAUCAAUAUGACAGUCAAAUAUGGGCAGUGAGGAUUGUCAUGCUCUUAAAAAUGUGACAUACAUAAUAUCAGAAACAUCAACAACUAUUUAACUGAAAACCUACGAGACAAUAGCUUCAAAAACUAGUCCUACAUGAUGAAAAAAUCUACACCAAAAGAACUGUAAGUACACAGGAAACAGCAUAUGAGCUCCACAUCCUACCUCGUACUUAAAGAGCUGCACUUUGUAAAGAAGAAAAAAAGUGCUCCAAUUUUUCAUCCGGACAUCUCAGCAUCAAAUAUCCUAUAUCAAAUUUCUCAAAAUUUUUAGAAUCACGUCCAUCUUGUUGAGAAGAGAAAUUAAAGAACUCAUAGGGAUUCGACGUGAAAACGAAGUGCUGGCUGUCGACUAUCUGACGCCCCCCCACCCCCCUCCUCCUUUAUCCGGGCUUGGGACCGGCAAUGUAAGACAAACUUACACAGGCGGAGUUAGAGAAAUUAAAGAACUGUAAAGAGAAAAUCAGUUAUAGAAAAGAUGUCAAGACGGAGAGAACCGUAAAAGCAAAGCAGUCCAAAAACACAACUGAGGGCAACAGCAAGAAACUUGCAUUGCUGGUCCAAAACAGAACGUGACACACCUGAUAUAGACUACGGUAUGAAUACUAAAAAUUAAAGAGACAAAACUUACAUUCCAAAACAAAAAAAUCCAUAGAAACAGUGGCAAGAAACAUGAUAAUUGUCUCAUCAACAAAACUAUCAACACAUUCAAAUUCACACUGAACACUUAACGCACCAUCUUACCAUCAAAUUCAAGCAUAAUACACAGAACAUGCACACACUAACAAGCCACACAUGCAGAGAGAGUAAUUCAAAGGAAAAGGACAUUAAUUUGAUUUUAAAAUUGGGCACAGUAAUUGAAAUCAUCAACCUCGAUACCCUUUGUCAAUAGAAAAAAGUAUGAAACUUGGGUAGAAAAGAAAUGUAUUUAUAAGCAUUCAGUGCAUUAAAAUUGGCAACAAUCCUAGAAGCACAUAUAUACACAUGAUUGGGUGAAAAGGCAGGCAAUGGAUCAGUAUGGCAGAGAAGAAGGCCCAGGGAAACACCUAUACGAAAUUUCUUAAUUAACUAAUGAACCAAAAGAUAUCAAAGCAUAUAUACUAAGAACGGAAAUAAAAUCUAUCCUGAUCAUAACUGUGCUUCUAUAUGCACGCCAUGGAAAUUAGACAGCUGCCGUCACCUCUACGUCCCUCUAUUGAUCAUUCACAGAAUCGCUCAUCCACAAACAGUCUGUCCAGUAAUUGAACCCAUCUAACGAUUGGCUGAAUUCAUCAAUUUGAGGCCACUCCCGGGGCAAUUUACCUUCAAGCGUUGUCAACCAUUCUUUAAUGUCUCCACGCACUGCUUCACCAUCUAAAGGAUAUUCCUCGCCGCCCAAGAAUAUCGGAGAAGAAGGAACAUCACUCAUCAGUGGCACAUAUUCAUGAUCUGAAAUAUGAGUGGGAAUGGGCAUCACAUUUCCGUUAAUGUAGCUUAUGCACCCCUGGUUGUGAUUGCUAGUGUCACCGUCCAAGCAUAUGGGAUAAGAAGGACCAUCACUCAUCAAUAUCACACUAUCCUGAUCAGAGAAAUCAGUCGGCUUUGCAUUGCCGUUAAUGUUGGUUAUGCACUCCUGAACCUGAUACCUAGUGUCAGUAAUCAUAUUGCUUUCAGUUCCAACAAAAGGCACAACAGCAGGGGUAUUGGUGAUCACAUUCACAUUAGAAUGUUUUUGUGAACCCGGUUCUUUUCUUGCUCUCUUUCUCUUAAUCAGAGGCUUCUCCUUCGAUACUUCUUUUCUUGCCCUCUUAAUCGGUGGCUUUUCAUUGAAGUCAUGAGUUGGACUUGAGGAAUUCAUCUUGUUUCCGCACCUAGACCUCGGAUUCCUUUUAAGUCGGGAAAGAACAACCUUUGGGCCAGCAACUACAUUAGGAAGAAGACUGUACUCUUCUAACAGCCAGCCGCCAUUGUUGUUAGAACCCUUGUUGUUAUACCUGAAAUGCCCUUUAUCCCCGAUUGGAAUUCCGUCCAAACCUAAAACUUUGUCGGAGGAUGUUUCGCUCCAAGUGCCUCCGGCUUCGAUCUGGCGUUUGCUGCGGCUGUCGCUUCUAGAACGGAGCUCACAGAAGAAGAACAAGUCCUGAUCGAGUAGGGAAUUUCCACCGAAUUGCUCCCAAACCACCCAGGGUGGUGUUUGUCCAAAGAGAUUGAACUCGUGAACAAACGGGUUGCCCAAGGGCUUUCCGGAGAGGGCUCUAUCGCGAAGAUAGGAACUGACCAAUUCUUGAUCAGUAGGAUGAAACCGAAAACCCAAUGGCAUACCGUAAUAACCCACCUCCAUUGUUAAACGCUAUUUCAAUUCAAUGCAAUUCAAAACAAAACAAAUGGAGCAGCAAAAACCCUAAAUUUUUAUUGGGCACAAAAUAAAGAAGAGAAAAUAAGCGAGAAAUUAAAGAGAAGAAAAAGGGAAACCUGGAAGCCGAUUUCGCUCGCUCGCCGAGGAGAGCAGCUCGUCGACGUCUCCUCAAUCGCUGUCUUCGUCCCCAAACAAGAGCAACUGAAGAGGAAUCGAUUUCAAGUAUUCUGUAAUUCAAUUCAACCGGAGACUGCUGGAGCACUGAAUUCUAAUCCUGGUUCAAAUUCGAACGCGCAGAGAGAGCGAGAGAGAAAGAUCUUGAGAGAGAGAUCUAGUGAGAGAGAGGGAGUGGAUUUGAAAUUUCAAUGGAAGAAAAUAUGACCGUUUGGUUUGGGAAUUGGAUGUUAACGUUGCAAACUUGCAAGGCUCACCGCUUAAGCGCGUUUUAAUCACGUGGCAUUUUCAUAUCUACAAAACCCUAAAAUAACGCAGGAAAAAAAAAUCGAUUGGGCUGGGUUCCCUAUUUUACUUCUUGGCCCAUUUUUUAUCCUGCCGCGUCCAGUUCUUUUGCUUAUCGUACGAGGAUCCUCUUCGGAUCCUCUUUGUAAGGAUGUUGGGAUCUUCAAAUCAUGUUCGUUUAUCGUACAUCAUGCGAUCAGUUUUUAUCAGAUAUUAUUCAUAUUUAAUUUUAAAUAAAAUUAUUUAAAAUAAUUUAUAGCCGUAUGAUAUAUGAUGAACGGACACGAUUUAUGGAUUCCCAGAAUCCACACUCUUGGUUAUUAGGCAUUUUAUUGUCAAUUUUUUUAGAUUUUUAUAUUAGAUUAAUGAACCCAAAUAUUUAAGGGUGAAUGUUGGAUUGCAAGUUUUGAUUUCGACACGAAAAAGAUUUAUAUCUUAUUUUUAUUCACAUAGCAUUUCAUGAUUGACACGAGAAGCCAUAGUCACGGUAUACUAAUGUCAUAGAAAUUGCUCAACUUGGAUAUGUUUUACAAUAGGAAAUCGUGACUAUGACUUAGACAUGGGAAAUCAUAGGAAAUCACGAUUUUUUUAAUUUCCUAUGUCCAAGCCACAGUCACGAUUUCCUAUGAUUGACAUGAUAAGUCAUAGUCACGAUGUUCACAUAGAUGUUCACAUAGCGUUCAUAUUCAUUUUUUAUAGGGGUAACAAGAUUUUCUCCCAACUCUAAUACACCUUUAUGUUCUUCCUGUCCAAAACUAUGUUGGAGAAGAUUUCAUAAGAAACACGUCUGGAAUCAGUCAUUAGCAGAUUGAUUAUUCAUGAAACGAAACAGAGGUCGAAACAAAUAGUGAUAAACUGAGUACUACUGUUCACGACACGAUAACGUCUUAAAAUUGAAACGAAAACUCAGAGUGUGCUGAAAGAAAUGACGAAAACAAAAGUAAGUGCAAUCAGAACUAUUGGGAACUUCAUGUACAUUCAUAUGUAUAUUGUCUACAGAUUUCCUCAAGAUUGACAACAAUACAGAGUAAGACCACCAACUAGACGAAAUAACAGACUGAAAACUAUUCUAUCCACGACAACAACAACAACAAAGUCUUUUCUCACUAAGUGGGGUCGGCUAUAUGAAUCCUAGAACGCCAUUGCGCUUGUUUCUAUGUCACAUCUUCCGUGUAAAUAAAAAGACUGAAAACUAAUAAACUAACUAUGAUUAAACCAGAAGUCGGAAAGAAAAAGCUGAAAGGUAACCGUGCUCAUCUGAAUUCUUGAACCCUACUACUAGUAUAAAAACAAGAGCUGACGCUAAUAGCUUGACAACUUGAUUCACGCAAGGCGUGUAUACUCCGUGUAAAGUCCUCUUCCUCCUGCUCCGCUUCUAGAUGAUGAUGAUACUGAGCAAGCAAAUCAAGAGAACAUGGAGAACCGAGGCCCGUGGCCUUCCAAUGUUUCCAACCACAACUGGAAAAAUAAUGAUUUGAAAGGGAAGGAACGGGAUGAUGGUGAUGAGCAGAGUAAUGUGAUCAGGUUCAGUAGCUUGAUGUAUAUGAUCUUGAUUUGUGUCUUCAUCAUCCUCUCCUCCAAUAUGAUUAAAGAAUUCAGUGAUGAAGUCCUCCUCAUCAUCCAACUCUCUUUCAUCCGUGGUUCUUGGCCGCUCCUCAAUCUCGUGAUGAUGAUGACGGAGAUGAGUAGUUAGCUAAGGUACGACAGCAGCCUCGUCUGCAGCAGAGGCCGCAACAGCAGAAUCAGGCAAAAGCUCAAACUCGUCAAUUAAGGAUCCUAACAGAUCAUCAUCCCAGCAAUCAUAUGCUUCGGUGGUGCUGCUUGAGGACCCCUAAUCGAGUCCUCCAUUAUCUGAAUCAUGAAUCCUCUGCCUUUUGACCGUAUCACCCAAAACUGUAACGGCAUCAUCAGAAUCGGAAUAGGAAUCAGGGAAACACAGACGCUUGAGAGAAGACACAGUGGGCCUCAAAUCUUGACCCCCCAUCUCCAAUUUCUUCACGAAACACAACACAAACAGAAGAAAGCAGGGGGCUUUCUGCUAAAACCAAAACCCUAAGUGGGUAAUGUGGAAGAAGAAAAAGCAACACUUUCCAAACACAAGGGCUAAUAACGAAGAUCAGCUCAGAGUGCGACUGAAUUGAUUAUACGGGAUUUGGGAACUAGGGUUUCUUGUUACAGUGCUAGACAGACAGAAAUUAAAGAUACCGAGAAAUAAAACAGAAGAAAAGGCAAGAACUGAACCUGGAACUGGGAAAGUUGUCGAUUUUCUUCUCAAAGAAGAGGAUGCAUUCGUCCCCAACUUCCAAUUUCAACAAACAGAGAGAGAUCAAGAUUUCCCAUGAUUGACACGAAAAGCUAUAGUCAUGAUGUUCACAUAGCGUUGCAUAUGCAUUUUCAUUGGCGAAUGAGAAGUGAGAUAUUUAUGUCAUAUCCGCAGCUUCACUGAGGAAACCAUUGUCGGAUAGCUUCACUAACCACAGCUAGUGUCGGUGUGUGAUGUUAUAUAUUUCUUCACUGGCGUAACCCGGAGUCGUAUAGCUUCACCUUCGGGUGAUGGGGCCUACCAUGUUUCUUCAUUGACGUAACCCAAUGUCGUACAGCUUUACCUUCGGGUGUGUGACUAUGAUAGUCCUAGAUAGUACAAUAUUGAUGAGAUUUAUGGAUUUACCUUCGGGCGAUGAUUGCACCGUUAUUGAGCAUGGUUUUACCCAUACUUGUUUUACAAAUGAUUUCAUAGCAUGAUAGAAUUUUCAGAAAACUAACUAUAUGUAGUAUUAUAUACAUUUUCAAAACAGGAGGUUAGUAUGUUCAGUAAGAAAUCGGUUUUCGUAUUAUUAGUUUAUUAUUAUAAACUUUGGUCCACUCACAUUUUUGGUUUUACGUCCCCUUAGGAGUGAGAAUGAGAAUCGAGGCAUACAAUCCCGACCUCAGGAUAUUUCUGCAUAGGUAUCUUCAAGCCCUCUCGGUGUAGGAUCCACUUUCUUGGUAAUCCCAUUUAUUUCAUAAUGAUUCUUUCAUAUUAUUCUUGAUUAGUUUUAUGUUCUGAACAUGAUUCUGCAUGGAUGUAUUCCUUUGUAAUUACUUAUUUUAGUUGUCGGCCAGCACAUGCCUAUCAUGGUAUUUAAGGAUGUCGAGAUCGGAACUUGUCAGAGAGAGAGAGAGAGAGAGAGUACCACAGAGUACUUUGCAGAUAUCUUCACCAUGGAAAAUGAGAUGGACCAAUGCUUAAACCGAAACACAAAAUAACCAUCAAACGUUAUAAUUCUAAAAGGCAAAAGUACAAGGCAAACAAUUACAUUAAAUUAAUAUUUAGCAGAAUCAGAUUAACAAAUAAUGUAUACAAAUUCCUUUCCCUAGCUUAUUGCACAGAGUCGUCUCUCUUCUUAUGAGAAGCAAUAUAAGCAACUGAAGGGCGAAUCCAAGUGGGGAAAUUGAAUUCCUAAAAGGGAUCGAUUGGAAGAAAAUGGCUAGAAAAAUUCGGUAUAGAAAACGAAAAGAGAAUUCGAGAGAUUUCUAGGAAACAAAUAGAAAACGAAGAGCGGAAAGGAUGACGAUGACGCAGAACCUACCUCUUCCUUCUUCAAUCUGUGUGUGGUUUCCUUUCACUAAAUCUCGCACCCACCGACAACAACCCAUCUCGGUCUGAUCCAAACACCAAUGCCAACCACCCACUUCCAAACUUUAAAUGAAUAAAAGUACCUAUCUCAAUCUGUGUGUAAUUUGCCGUGUUAAACCCAAGCCCAGCUUACACCCCACAACCCACUUCCAGCCCAAAUGCAUUUCUUGGAGGAACAUGGGUCCGACCGUAGUAUCAAAUCUUGGAGUUCCCACAGGAGAGACUGCACCCCGUUUUCGUGUGUGCCAUACGAUUACAUGCCUCAACCCACACGCCUGACGUCCACGACGGAUAUUAUAUGCGUCAACUCCACGCUUGACGGGAAGACUAGACCGGGCCAGUCAACAAUGGCACCAUACAGCUCUUGAUUCAGUUGAAAAUCCUUUCAGAAAUUCCAAGCGUAAAGAAAGGAUUAGAAACUCUGCACCUCCAAAGUUGUUACUAGCUCCCAUAUUUAUUUCUGACGCAUACAAACUGGCGAAAAAACAUAUCAUACUGCAACUCUAAACCAUGACAUUUCUUUAUAUGCUCCUGCUGCUGUCCGCAUUCCCACUGAUCAAAACGACAUCUAUAUCUCCAAGAAAACAAGCAGAAUCGCUCGUCAAAUGGAAAGACGGCUUAUCUUCUUCACCAUCAUCAUCAGCAACACCUUGGCUACUCAAUUCAUGGUCCCUCACCAACCUCAACAACCUCUGCAACUGGACUGCCAUUUCCUGCUCCAAAACCAGAACAGUCUCCAAAAUAGACCUCUCCAAUAUGCACAUUAUCGGAUCACUGUCCCUUUUCGACUUUCCAUUAUUUCCAAAUCUCACCCACUUCAAUCUAAAUGGCAACAGUUUCGGAGGGCGUAUACCGUAUGCCAUUGGAAAUCUCUCCAGGCUCAUAUCUUUGGACUUGGGCAACAACUUUUUUGAUCAACAAAUUCCAUCUGAGAUUGACCAGGUAACAGAGCUUCAGUAUCUAAAUCUCCGCGAAAACAGUCUCUCUGGUACCAUCCCUCAUCAACUGAGCAAUCUCCAAAAGGUAUGGUACAUGGACCUUGGAUUAAACAAUUUUAACUAUACUGAUCAAGAUUGGUCAGAAUUUGCAGGCAUGCCUUCAUUGACCUAC